GUUAAUUAAUUAUUUUGGUGCUCGAUUAGUCGCCAUUGUCGGAUGAUACUUUAGGUUUGCACUUCCCAUUGAGCUCUUGGCCUGGUUGCUGGCAUUGGUUCUUCUGUUGUGCUACUUACUGCAGUUUCGUUGUUGAUUUAGUAGGAAAGCUGAUGUUUAUCUACACAAGGGACUUGCUAUAUUGCGUACUCGGAUGCAACAUUUACUGGGCCAUCAAAAAGGAGGUUAAAACUCCCGCCAUCCCCCUCCUCUUUCUCUCUGUGUGUGUGCGCGUACGUGUAUGACUGAUUCCGUUAGCUGUCGCCAUCUGUUCAUUUGCAGGGGGGCUGGAUCCCAAGGGGCCGAGUUGUAGUCCUCCAGAGUUGUUGGGAAGAAGAUGGGUAAGCUCCUCUUGCUCUUCCACCCCUCUGCUGCGAGGAUCUAUAAUUUUGUGCACGCUACUGAUUUUGGAGACUUUUAGAGUAUUGAGCUACAUCACUAGCGAACGAGCUUGCAAAAUUUUCCAGUAUGCUGCACCUGUGAUUAGAGGUUCAGGCCGUACCAGUUUUUGGGUCUUUAUAUUGGUGAUUUCGUUCUGUUAGGAGGUCACUACCGAAGGAGUAAAUUACUAGCGAAAGAGCAGUUGAUGUAUGAACAUCAUUGGGUUCAAGGAGUAAAUUAUUAUGGUUUGGCUGAAAUGUCAGUUCAUUACUAUUACAUGAAAUCUAGAACCUAUGCUAAUGUGUCCAAUCUAGACAAGGAGGACAGAUAUUUAUUGGGGGGCCUGAUUCUUAUGUAGUUUCUCUCUAUAUUGCAGAACUCCCUACUCUCAUUUGGUGCACCCCAGUAUGUAGUGUCAAUGAUUUCAAUGUCCCCAGGAAUCUCAAACCGUAUGUACAGUCAAUGAUUGCAAUGCCUCUAGGGAUAUCCCAAGAAAUAUUUCUUAGUUCCAAGUUCUGAAUACGCGUCAAUCCAGCAUCUAUUUUUGACCCUGUAGAUGAAUUUAUCCCUGGAUGUUUAUGCCCGGAAGGAGGAGGCAUACCAAUGAUAGUUUGAAUCAAACUAAUAGAGGACGCCACCAUCGAUUAUGGUGUCGAGCGACUAAAAUGUAAUGAACUGGUAGUGCGACUGUUGACCUCCUUGAAACUAAUCACGUUCUUCGCUCCCGAACUCACGCAGUAGACAAGCAACUCUUCUUUUAUAACUGCAGACAAGUAUGACUCCAUACCCUUAAAUUCCCUGCACUAUUCUCAGGGUCGUUGAAUACAUAAUGUGACCCCACAUAAAUGGUUAGGAACUAGCUAAAUUUUAUUUAUCUUCGAUUCCCUACCAAAAUAUUCCUACUGCAUAUGUUAGGAAGGAUCUAUAAGAGUUGCUGCUAUGUAUAUGUUGUUGAAACCUCCAAUGUAGUUAAUCUCCGGCUCUUAUCAUCUUUCUUUGUUCAAGCCCUUGAGAGAAUGCUUUUAAAUUUAUGAACUGAAUAUAAUUCAAGAUUUAGUGAAAAUGCACAGUGAUCUUUACAACUUAUCUAUUUCUUUUUUCUGUGAGACUUCUUCGAAGAUAAUAAUUUGCCCAAAAAUAAUGUUCAGUAGUCAUGUUCCCCUUUUAAUCACUGUACUUUAGUAAUCUUGAUAUCUACAAAAUCUUUGAAACCUGACACCACUCAUGUAAUUGGCCAUUAUUUUUUGUCUUAAAGUCCCAUGUCUUAUCGCUAAUUGCAGCAUUGUUUUUCACCAGUGUGUCAUAGAUUCAGUUCUGCAUGAUGUGCUUGGUAUAGGAGAAAAUCAGUCUGCCAAUAUUAUUUUCCUGCUAUUUGACAUACACAUGUUUACAUAAACUGUACCAGUUGCAUGGAUGUACCAAUUGUUAUCCAGCAAGCUUUGAAAGUUAACACAAAGAAUCUGCACCCUAGGAUAAUUGUAAGGAAUGUGUGACCAAAACCACAUCUACCUUUUCUAAUGUUAUUAUCCUAGGUGCUCCGCAG
rnacentral:lncRNA from 1 species